rnacentral:ncRNA from 1 species
UCGGGCCUUCCCGCAGCCGCCCGGUUUUCGCAAAGACAUUUUGUCCAAGCGCUGC